rnacentral:rRNA from 1 species
AGUGAACGCUGGCGGUAGGCCUAACACAUGCAAGUCGAACGGCAGCACAGUAAGAGCUUGCUCUUACGGGUGGCGAGUGGCGGACGGGUGAGGAAUACAUCGGAAUCUACUUUUUCGUGGGGGAUAACGUAGGGAAACUUACGCUAAUACCGCAUACGACCUACGGGUGAAAGCAGGGGAUCUUCGGACCUUGCGCGAUUGAAUGAGCCGAUGUCGGAUUAGCUAGUUGGCGGGGUAAAGGCCCACCAAGGCGACGAUCCGUAGCUGGUCUGAGAGGAUGAUCAGCCACACUGGAACUGAGACACGGUCCAGACUCCUACGGGAGGCAGCAGUGGGGAAUAUCGGACAAUGGGCGCAAGCCUGAUCCAGCCAUACCGCGUGGGUGAAGAAGGCCUUCGGGUUGUAAAGCCCUUUUGCUGGGAAAGAAAAGCAGCAGGUUAAUACCCCGCUGUUCUGACGGUACCCAAAGAAUAAGCACCGGCUAACUUCGUG